CCCUACGGGACGCAGCAGUGGGGAAUAUUGGGCAACGGGCGCAAGCCUGACCCAGCAACGCCGCGUGAAGGAAGAAGGCUUUCGGGUUGUAAACUUCUUUUAUGAGGGACGAAAGAAAUGACGGUACCUCAUGAAUAAGCCACGGCUAACUACGUGCCAGCAGCCGCGGUAAUACGUAGGUGGCAAGCGUUAUCCGGAUUUACUGGGUGUAAAGGGCGUGUAGGCGGGACUACAAGUCAGAUGUGAAAAUUACGGGCUCAACCCUGGAACUGCGUUUGAAACUGUUCUUCUUGAGUGAUGGAGAG
rnacentral:rRNA from 1 species